AGUGAACGCUGGCGGUAGGCCUAACACAUGCAAGUCGAACGGCAGCACAGUAAGAGCUUGCUCUUACGGGUGGCGAGUGGCGGACGGGUGAGGAAUACAUCGGAAUCUACUUUUUCGUGGGGGAUAACGUAGGGAAACUUACGCCAAUACCGCAUACGACCUACGGGUGAAAGCAGGGGAUCUUCGGACCUUGCGCGAUUGAAUGAGCCGAUGUCGGAUUAGCUAGUUGGCGGGGUAAAGGCCCACCAAGGCGACGAUCCGUAGCUGGUCUGAGAGGAUGAUCAGCCACACUGGAACUGAGACACGGUCCAGACUCCUACGGGAGGCAGCAGUGGGGAAUAUUGGACAAUGGGCGCAAGCCUGAUCCAGCCAUACCGCGUGGGUGAAGAAGGCCUUCGGGUUGUAAAGCCCUUUUGUUGGGAAAGAAAAGCAGCAGGUUAAUACCCCGCCGUUCUGACGGUACCCAAAGAAUAAGCACCGGCUAACUUCGUG
rnacentral:rRNA from 1 species